UACGGGGGGAGCAAGCGUUGUUCGGAUUUACUGGGCGUAAAGGGCGCGUAGGCGGCCUCCGCAAGUCAGUUGUGAAAUCUCCGAGCUUAACUCGGAAAGGUUAACUGAUACUGCGGGGCUAGAGUGCGGAAGGGGCAACUGGAAUUCUUGGUGUAGCGGUGAAAUGCGUAGAUAUCAAGAGGAACACCUGCGGCGAAGGCGGGUUGCUGGGCCGACACUGACGCUGAGGCGCGAAAGCUAGGGGAGCAAACAGG
rnacentral:rRNA from 1 species